rnacentral:rRNA from 1 species
GAUGAACGCUGGCGGCGUGCCUAAUAAAUGCAAGUCGAGCGAAGCGGGGACGGGUGAGUAACACGUGGAGAAACGCAUAUAAGACUGGGAUAACGUAGGGAACCCGGGGCUAAACAGGAUAAUAAACGAUCGAUCCGCGCUGCAAUAGCUAGUUGGUAAGGUAACGGCUAACCAAGGCAACGAUGCAUAGCCGACCUGAGAGCGUGAGCGGCCACCCUGGAACUGAGACACGGUCCAGACUCCUACGCGAGGCAGCAGUAGGGAAUCUUCCGCAAUGGGCGAAAGCCUGACCGAGCAACGCCGCGUGAGUGAUGAAGGUCUUCGGAUCGUAAAACUCUGUUAUUAGGGAAGCGGUACCUAAUCAGAAAGCCCCGGCUAACUUCGUGCCAGCAGCCGCGGUAAUUC